GAGCACCUAGUUUAAUAGAGAAUGACAUUUUGCAAAAAUGUUGGUAUUAUUUUUUUGGUGUUUU
rnacentral:tRNA from 1 species